AAUGUGCCGCAAGACAGGGACAGAGUAGGUAAGACAACACGCUUCGUGUUGUCUUACCUUCUCUGUCCCUGUCUUGCGACGCAUU
rnacentral:pre_miRNA from 1 species